rnacentral:rRNA from 1 species
UGGGGAAUUUUGGACAAUGGGCGCAAGCCUGAUCCAGCCAUGCCGCGUGCGGGAAGAAGGCCUUCGGGUUGUAAACCGCUUUUGUCAGGGAAGAAACAGUUUAUGUUAAUACCAUAGACUAAUGACGGUACCUGAAGAAUAAGCACCGGCUAACUACGUGCCAGCAGCCGCGGUAAUACGUAGGGUGCAAGCGUUAAUCGGAAUUACUGGGCGUAAAGCGUGCGCAGGCGGUUAUGCAAGACAGAUGUGAAAUCCCCGGGCUUAACCUGGGAACUGCAUUUGUGACUGCGUGACUAGAGUAUGGUAGAGGGGGAUGGAAUUCCGCAUGUAGCAGUGAAAUGCGUAGAUAUGUGGAGGAACACCGAUGGCGAAGGCAAUCCCCUGGACCUGUACUGACGCUCAUGCACGAAAGCGUGGGGAGCAAACAG